rnacentral:misc_RNA from 1 species
GCAAACCCAGCCCCAUCAUAAGCAAGCAACAAGCGGAGCCUUGUCCAGAAUCUUAUCGCGGCGGCUGAGUAGAAAACUGGCGGGAUCUGUCCAAGCCACUCGCCGGAUACCUCUGCUCAACCUCAAUGAUAGCCCUCAUAUGUUAAUGCUGCCUUAGCUAAAUUUCUUCAUCUUCUUCCUCGCUUUUCUCUGAGCUCUGUAUGGAAGAAUCGCGAUUUUAAAUGGGGUCUUACAUGCUCAGUUCAAAAUCUAAUUAGACUUAGCAGUUGCAUAUCUGGGAAAUUUCCGUAUUUAAACAGAAAAAAGUGAAGAGUUUGGUAUAGCAAUCGACUAUUCUGUUUUAUCGUUUUUAUAUUUUUUUGUUUCUAGUUGCUUGAUUAUUUUUUAAUUGUCAUGCAAUAUUUCUGUAGUUAGCACUGAGAUUAUAAUCCUGGUUGUAUGAGUUACCUGAAUUUUAUUGGCUUGUUUCUCAUGAAUCCUAGGGUUUGCUUCUCAUGAAUCCUAACUUUUGCCCACUAUAUGAACUUCUAGAAUUAUUUAGAAGCACAAAUUUAAUUUUUCAGUUCAGCUAUUAUUGUGGCUUUCCAAAUGAAUGAAUCAGCAGAAUUACCUGGAUGUGCGUUAGGAGGUUAUGAUGUUGUGUAUAACCUUGUUGUGGUGUACAAUGUCAGGGGGGGAGUCUGUGUCACAUAGUUCCUGAUUUGAAACCGCCCAAUUGGAAGAAUGGAAAUUAAUGUUAUUCUUGCCAUGAAGAUGCAGAUGGUUCUUUGAGACCGAAGUUGUAUGAUGGCAUAAACUUCAUUAAUGUUCCUUAGUGAGGUCAAUCAAGAGCUUAAUCAAUGGAAUAUAACCUUGAAUUUUUUUCUGAUGUGAUUGAUGUGGGAAAAUCCAUAUGCUAGUAUUCCUUUUGUCUAAUGCAAAAAGGUUACAUGUGUGCGGAUUUUAAUUGUACUAAUUAUGAAAACAUUAAAUAUGUAAAUUCUGCAUACAUAAUCUGCCUUUUACUGUUGACAGGUGAACUAG